rnacentral:lncRNA from 1 species
CACGACAUACAUGGGCCAACUAACUAAUGAAGUCGUCUGUUCCCGAAAAUAGAAAUCUUGAGCCCAAAUAUCAAAAUGUUCAAGAAAUUUUUACAUAGGUACCUUGGAUAUAGCUGCCUAUUAACAGAAGGAGGCACUGAGAGUAGCCUGGUUAUAAUAUGUGCCUGAAACCUGGAGAGAUUAGUUUCCAAAUAAAGAGGCAAAUAAGGUCAUUUCCGGAGGUGUGCGUCAACCAAUAACUCAAAAGAAAAUUCCCGACAAACAACAAUUUAUAUAUCCACCUAGAUGAUCUUGGCAAUUAUCAAGUAUGCUGAUAAUAUAUAUCUACAAUUCUUGUAUUGUUUGCCCCGCAAAAAAGAUAAUAUAUAUCUACAGCAGAGAGGAAUCACCAUGCCAUCAAAUAUUUCUAUCUAUAAAGAAACAACUUCUUAGUGAGGCUUGAAAUAAGAAUAUACCAUCAUUAAUUUGGAGAUAAUACACCCUGACAUGUUUGGACCAUUGUUCCCACUAUUUCUAAGUAUCAAUGCUUUUACUUAUCUCCUAAAUUAUCACGUUCUAAGCUAAUAGACUAACAUACAAAAUGGAAGACUGAUAUUUUAGAUUCAAAAGAAAAUUCAAUGAGCAUAGACUACUGAAACUUAUAUCUGAAUAGCACCACUAUUGGUCCAUGGCAUCUGGCCGCUGCAGCAACACCAUUUUUAGCACCAGUGACAGCAUCAAUUGACAUCAUAGAUAGAUAGUUAAGGUUGUUGGCCCAAAUAUCAAAAUGUUCAAGAAAUUUUUACAUAGGUACCUUGGAUAUAGCUGCCUAUUAACAGAAGGAGGCACUGAGAGUAGCCUGGUUAUAAUAUGUGCCUGAAACCUGGAGAGAUUAGUUUCCAAAUAAAGAGGCAAAUAAGGUCAUUUCCGGAGGUGUGCGUCAACCAAUAACUCAAAAGAAAAUUCCCGACAAACAACAAUUUAUAUAUCCACCUAGAUGAUCUUGGCAAUUAUCAAGUAUGCUGAUAAUAUAUAUCUACAAUUCUUGCAUUGUUUGCCCCGCAAAAAAGAUAAUAUAUAUAUCUACAGCAGAGAGGAAUCACCAUGCCAUCAAAUAUUUCUAUCUAUAAAGAAACAACUUCUUAGUGAGGCUUGAAAUAAGAAUAUACCAUCAUUAAUUUGGAGAUAAUACACCCUGACAUGUUUGGACCAUUGUUCCCACUAUUUCUAAGUAUCAAUGCUUUUACUUAUCUCCUAAAUUAUCACGUUCUAAGCUAAUAGACUCACAUACAAAAUGGAAGACUGAUAUUUUAGCUUCAAAAGAAAAUUCAAUGAGCAUAGACUACUGAAACUUAUAUCUGAAUACCACCACUAUUGGUCCAUGGCAUCUGGCCGCUGCAGCAACACCAUUUUUAGCACCAGUGACAGCAUCAAUUGACAUCAUAGAUAGAUAGUUAAGGUUGUUGGCUUCUUGAGUAAGACCAUAGCAGUCCCAGGUCACAUCACCCUCGACAGGAGAAGAGCCGCAAGGCAGCUAAUUGACAGCCACUUUAUCAGUACGACCUGCGAAACCAAGCACAUCGUCUCCAAAUGAACCCCAACCCCUGCCAAGGGCCUUGACCUGGUGGUCCUUUUUCUCCACCUUAGUCUUCAGAUCCUUUAUAUUUUGAUUCUUCUCAGCGACACUGCUUGAAAGGUACUUCAUCUCGGUCUUAAUCUUUUGCAUUUGAGGGCAAUCAAAUCCAAUACUCAUGGUGUCUUGAAGAAGCUCCAAGCACCGAGUAGCAGCAUUCUGCAUGGCCACAGCAACAUCCACAACUGGUUCACCAUGGAUCUCCAUAUGCAUUGAUGCCGCAAACGAGCGCGACUGCGAUGGCCAUAAGUAAAUAGUAGCCCCGACACAACCAUGGUAAGAUGCGUAGGUCUUGUACUCCACUUAGGGUAAACCAGCUUCAGCAAGAAUAGAGUGAAGCACAUCCUUUGGCCUAACGGUAACAGAACGCUUCAUCUGUCAAAACAUGCAAACGGGAAAAUUACUCACAUGAGAUAAAUAACAUAAAAGGAACGCGAAGAUAUACCAAACGAGCAAAGGCACAAGCAACACCAAAGGACCGCUCUGGUCCCAGGCAAAAGAAUAGAG